rnacentral:rRNA from 1 species
AACGAACGCUGGCGGCAUGCCUAACACAUGCAAGUCGAACGCCUGUAGCAAUACAGGAGUGGCAGACGGGUGCAUAACACGUGGGAACCUACCCUUGGGUUCGGAAUAACCGCGGGAAACUGCGGCUAAUACCGGAUACGUCCUCUGGGAGAAAGAUUCAUCGCCCUUGGAGGGGCCCGCGUCGGAUUAGCUAGUUGGUGAGGUAACGGCUCACCAAGGCGACGAUCCGUAGCUGAUCUGAGAGGAUGAUCAGCCACACUGGAACUGAGACACGGUCCAGACUCCUACGGGAGGCAGCAGUGGGGAAUAUUGGACAAUGGGGGCAACCCUGAUCCAGCCAUGCCGCGUGUGU